rnacentral:lncRNA from 1 species
AAUCCCUCCUUAAAACCGAAACUUAAAGAUGGAGAGGAGGAUGGCGAAGGCCCCUCAGAGGAGCCGGAGAGAUGUGAAAGAGCAGUGUCUUUGGCAAAAAUAAAAGCAAAAGCAUUUUCAGCUGUUGCCCAGGUGUCCAAGUCCAGGAGGCAUCGCCAGUCCAAGCUUGACUCUUCUGACUCGGAUUCUGGGUCUGGACAAGUACAAGGCAAAGCAACUAAGAGAAAGAGAACCAGAGAGCCAGCAGAGCCAGCAGGAAGGAAGCAGCGGCCUUCCAGGAGCAAAGGUGAUGUUCCAAAUGAACGCAAGGAAGAGAAGUCUUUACGCCUGAGUAUGCCUGUAAUUACAGAGGAGGAGGAGGAGAGCUCGGAUGGCCUCAGCAAAGCAGGUACACGUGCAUCUCGUGCAUCUUGUUAGCUCCUGCAGGGGCUUAGGCUUACAGAGUCAGGACUGUGCCCUCCCCUCGGCAGGCAGGUGCCUCAUUCUUCCGAUCCUUGUGUUUGGCCUGUUGGAGCUUGUUGUGUCACACUGGGAACCGUGGACCUACUCCACAGCCAGCAAGCAGUGAUGCAGUGCCAGGAUGUGGAUGCCUGCUAGGGACACUGCUGGUGUCACUGCCGGAGAAGCUGGUGCAGCCCUCUGUCGUGUGUCGGUCAUGGAGGCUUCCCUUCUAGGAAUCUGUUUUCUUUUUCUUCCUGACACCCCCUCCACAUUUCCUUUUUAUUUUUCAUUGAUGAGGACUA